AACGCACCUUGCGCCCUUUGGUAUUCCGAAGGGCAUGCCUGUUUGAGUGUCAUUAAAUUCUCAACCUCCCCUUCUUUCAUUAGGAGUGCGGUGGAUUGGAUAUGGGGGUUUGCUGGUUUCUAACGAGAUCAGCUCCUCUGAAAUGCAUUAGCAGAAACCGUUUGACUUUGGCUGCUAGGCUGUGAUAAUAUCUACGCCUUGUAGUUAGGUCGGAAUACGAGUCAUACAGUGGUAACUAAUCAGGCUUUCGGGUCUGGCUUAGAAUCGGUUUGGAAGGUGCUUAACGGCUCCUUCUGCUUUCUCCCUUUGCGGAGAUACUUGUCCGAUUUUAAGAGAGGAGUUGCUUAGCGCGAGCUUAGCUUUCCUUGAUUUUUCCCUUUGACUUUGUAGAAGGAUUCAGCUUCUAACCGUCCAUUGACUUGGACAAUUUAUUGACUAUUUGACCUCAAAUCAGGUAGGACUACCCGCUGAACUUAA
rnacentral:rRNA from 1 species